UACGGAGGGUGCAAACGUUGCUCGGAAUUAUUGGGCGUAAAGCGCACGUAGGCGGCUUAGUAAGUUGGAUGUGAAAUCCCUCGGCUUAACCAAGGAAGUGCAUCCAAAACUACUGAGCUUGAGUACUAAAGAGGAUCGCGGAAUUCCCGGUGUAGAGGUGAAAUUCGUAGAUAUCGGGAGGAACACCAGUGGCGAAGGCGGCGAUCUGGGUAGAUACUGACGCUGAGGUGCGAAAGCGUGGGGAGCAAACAGG
rnacentral:rRNA from 1 species